GUGGCUGUGGCGUAAUGGUAGCGUAGAGGCUUGUGGAGCCUCUGGCCCGGGUUCGAUUCCCGGCAGCCGCC
rnacentral:tRNA from 1 species